CUAGACAAAAAAAUGUAUGCAUCAACAAAAACAUUCAUCUUCUACGCAGCGCUUACUCGAAUCUUUCUCUAGAUCGAUAUUUACAAACAUCGUACAAUAAUUCGUAGCCCUACUGGCGGCAUUCAGUAUCACAGACACGUUUGUCUAACUUGGAAUGAGAGAAAGAAACUCUUCUAGUAAACUCGCGGACGGGACACUCGCAGUAUACGUUUCUGAAUACCAUGGUCUUCUCUACGACUUGUACGAGGAAUGCUCAACGAUAUCCAGGAAUUUUCGAGGCUCCUAGCAGUUGAGCAAUUUUGUUGGAAGGGAAACUUUAAGAUGGCGUAUCAGGUUAUUCGACAGCGGUUCGAUGCAGAAGUUCAAGAUUCUUUUCCACGAUAUCGAGGUAUUCGGGGACAACGAAAUUGGACAAUAAAGCUGGUUCCUGGAGUUAAACAAAACGUAUCUGUUAAACGGAAUACUGUUACGAAAUCUGCUCGCCAAACAAGGGCACUGCCGUACUUCCGAAUGACAUCGUAGUCUGUUCUCUGUGUAACGGAUUCCCGGACUCGAGAUUGUCAAUCGAAACAGGACUUUCGGCAUGCUUGUUACCACGUGACUUAAGCGUGUUCUAAGACAUGCCGAGUGGAGGCAGGGAGAUGAGGAGGGAGUUGGAAACUUUGAAUCUUGCAAACAGCCUCGAGGACUUGUUCGCCACCCUCGUGAAGACUAAUAAAGCUACGAACUGCGAAUAGGAACGGUAAAUGGCGGGAUUGCUAGGUAAGAAGUGGUCACCAUCCAUUAAAAUUAUCCAGCUCCUUACGAGAAUAUUCUACCAAAUGUCCAAAUUGGAAAAAUUGAGAAUAUAAAGAAUUAAAUAAAAAAAACUUAGAGAAUGAAACUAAACUAAAUAUGGAAAUAAUUAAAAACAUUGCAAAAUGUACCGUCGGUCACAAAAAUUUACACACACUCUCGACGAAUUUUAUGUAUCCGACUUAUCAGAAGAAAUUAAAAAUGUACUUUGUAUAAAAUUAUUUAGAUUUGUAUGCAAAAUGAUCUAUCUUUUCUCGAUAUAUUACGGUAUUUGUAAAAAGAAUUAAAAAUAUAAAGCAUUUAUGAACAAAAAUCAUGCUCGGAAAGUGCUUCGGAAAGAACAAAACCUUCGAUUUUAUCGAUGUCAAGAAUAUUGCGAGCCGUAGGCUGUUAUUGAGUCUUAUUAGGACUUUCAACGUGUUAAUAUUAAAUCUACUUGUUUCGUGACUUCAUAUUACUUGAACACCAUAUGCGUACGAACGUUUUAGUAGUUAGGAUCAAGACGCGUUCAAACAAAUGAGAGAGGCAUUUGAAAUCCUUACAGCGAGAAAGCAAUUAAAUUGGCGCCCCGCUGCUCUCUUCUUUCGUGGAAUCAGCCGGUGAGAAAGCGAUAAAAUUCGAUUAUUACCGAGCUUAAUGGCGCGGCUUAAACAUCUUUAGUUCAUCUUUGCCAAUGUCCAUCGCGAUUUUCGGCUUCACACUCGAAUGCUUGGCAAUUUUGUGAUCGUCAACGACUCGAAUGGAACGGCAGUUUUCACUGCCACGCAUUUGCGACGAGUUCCUUUUAAAAGGAUCGAUCUCGAUAGCGGCUUUGAAUGGCGAUACUCUGAAGGACCGUUGCGGUUCUAAUUCGUGGAUGUUACAACUAUAGUUUCGGGAUGCCGACUGUCAACAAGAAGAUCAAGAGGAUCAACGCUCUCUGUUGUUCCACGCGCCGCGCCGCCUAUGACUUGGGGAUACUCGGGUUCACGGUGGAGAGCGAUAAGAGUUUUCUAGAAGGAUCUGAUCAUGGACCGCUGGCGGGCUGAUAAAUCCUUUGGCAACAGAACUGACAGCGACGCAACGUCUGGAUCGACUGGAUUCAACGAAAGCAGCCUGAAUCCUGAGACUUCCUAAACUUAUUACGCUUCCCUGACGUUGAAAAUAAACGAUGAAGAAGAGCGGCAGACUGUAAAAACCAGGGAAUUUUUGUAAAACAAGUGGCUGCAACUCAGCUUGACGCCGCGCCGUGGAAACCGACUUCGAGGUUGCAUUAAGAGCUCCGCGGUAAAGUGUACUGUCAAUAAUUUAGAAACCCUCCGAUGAGUUUUUCUUUUCAAGCCAGCUACCGUACAGCAGAGACCAAUAGAAUGGUAAUAAGAUAAAGAAAAUGGGACGAAGGUAAAAAUUUUUGUUGUUUAAUGUAAUUUGCAGAGGUAGAAAUCCAUUAAAUAUGGAAAUCAGAAGUAGUAAUACCUUUUUGCUGUUUUAACGAAGUAAUUUUGAAAUCAUUCUUGAUUAUGCAGUCGUUUUAUUAUUAA